rnacentral:sRNA from 1 species
AAAUCCCCAACCCCCUGUCAGACACUUCUUGUAUGAUGUUUAGGACCAUCCUCUGCAUCCCUAGAUGUCAGUGGUCCACCCACCACAUCCCACCACCGAAACUGUCUCAAGAUACUGCCAGGUUACUUCUGGGGAAAGAGGACACCUGGUUGAGGUUUAUUUCUAAAGCUUUGUCAGAAGCCGCAGCAGUCCCAGGAGGGAGGAGCAACAUCCUCAAGAUGCAGAGGCAACAACAAGGGCAGGUAAGAUGGCUCGGUGGGGAAAGGCACUUGCCACAGAAGCUUGGCUAACAGGGUACCAUUCCUAGAACCCAUAUAAAAGCUGAGGGGAGAACUGACUUUGUUAAGUUGGCCACUGGCCUCUCCGCACACACACAUUAUGGCAGGUGCCCCCCAAAUAAUAAUUAGGAAAAAAAAUGGAGGCUCCCUAAAGAACAGACCAGUAACAAGUAGGAGGCUGCAGCUGUGGCUUAGCUGGUAUAGUUUGAACCCACACAGUAGGAAUUCUAAAGUUCAGUGACCUCAACAAAGGGUCAUGGCUGAGCAUCACCACUGGUCACCUGCUGGCCUGCAGCACAGGGCCUCCGGCUUCGGAGAAUUGCUUUGCUCUCUGUUCUCCCCUCCUCCUGGAACUUGACAGUCUGUUUGUCGUUUGUUGCUGUGAUUUUGCUUCGUUUUGGUUUGGAGACAGGGUUUCACUCUGCAGCCCAGACCAGAUUUGAACUCACAAUGUCAUCCGUGCUGGCCUCCAGUUUGGGGGUCAAGCAGAUAGACUGGGCAGACUGAGCGACCCAGACAGGAGGCAACAGGGAUUGGUGGCCACUGGAUGAUUGGCAAGUAUCUGUUUAGGGGACACUGCCAAGAGCACGGCUCAGUGUAAGAGAUCUGCUGGGACUCCCAGACUUAGAGUUUAUGAACAUGGGAUCAGUUACUGCCUUUUACAUAGAGCCAGAGUUCUCCAGAAUCAGGUUUCCUUCCUCAGGACACCACCAGCUCCAUACUCUUGUGACAAGGGCUUUAUCUGCAUCUGCUAAUGAGAAGGAGUUCAGGCUUCAGAUGUAGGGAAACUGCCUGCAUAGUGGCUGUUUUAUAUCUGACCCAGAAACCCAAUUUUGUCAUGCAAAGCCAUGGCAGUAAUGAUUCACCAGGUCAUAUGGGGACGAAAACUCAGAGCCCCCUGAGUCUUGACAAAAUGAAACCAUCGAGUCCCAACCUUCUGUACCACACAGCACAGCUGACACUGGUUACAAGUGAGCUCCCUUCUUUGCCUCUCCACAGCAUGCCAAGCGGCAUUCAGGAGCUCUACACAACCGGUGAGCUCAGACUAGAGCCUGAAUCCCCGGGAUGAGCUGCAUUUCAGAGACCCAGCGGAUUUGCACAGCAACCAGGUGACAAGCAACAGAAGCCAAUUUGGAGCACUACAGGAAGAGAGGUACCAAGUUCGGUUGAUUAAUGUCUGUCUUCACCCUCAAAAAAAAAUUGCCCAGAGCCUAUCACCAUAUCUCAUAUGGUGUGAUGGCUAGCUUUGCUUGUCAGCUUGACAAUCUGGGAAGAGGAAACCUCAGCUGAAGAGUUGCCUCCAUCAAAUUGAUCUGUGGGGAAUAUUCUUGAUUGAUAAGUGAUAUGGGAGGGUCCAGCCAACCUUGGGACAGUGCUAUCCCUGGGCAGGGGUCUUGGGGGUGUUUUAGGUUCUGAGGAGCAAGCCAGUAAGCAGGACUCCUCCAUGAUCUCUGCUUCAGUUCCUCCCUAGAGUUCUUGCCCUGACUUUUCUCAGUGUGACCUGAGAAUCAUGAGCUGAAACCAACCUUUUCCCUCUCGUGCCGUCUUUGAUCCCAGUGUUUAUCAUAGCGAAAGAAAAGCAUUGUAGAACACCUGGGAAGAGGGACUUUACAGGUAGGAUGAACUUCGUGCUUUCCAGAUGAGGUAGCACUUCUUGAGGCAGCCCCAAUAGAAUCCUAAACCCUAAAGGAGGAGGGGUCAUGAGGGUCUGAGGAAGAGCUCAGGCUGUGUUGAUGGAGGAGUCAGCAUGGAAGGGUCCUGAAGACAGGAAAAGCAAGAGGAGACUUUUCCUUAGGAACACCCUCUAGGAGGGGCACAGCCCUGUUCCAUGGCCCAGCUGGUUUUUAGCUCACACAGCUCAAUGUCAAACCUCUGCCCUCCAGAGGGGGAUAAGACAAGACCACCCUCGAGCCUCUGAUUGUGGAGUAGCUGGGGCUACAGGUGGCACUUUACCCACUGAAGUAUCCCAAAAGCUUCUUUCUGUUGCUGUUCACAGCGUUGGGUAUCGAACUGGGAACCUCCUACGUGCUAGACUAGUGCUCUUUCUCUGAGCCACAUCCCUGGCUUGUAGGUUUCCUCUCUGAAUGGAAGAUUUAUUGAUUUGUAUAUAUUUUACAAACCAAACUGUCUCUCUCUGCUGUCCCGAGGGAGCACACUUCACCACACCGACAAGCAUGUCUGCUUGUCUCGUUGUGUCAACGCUCUAUAAAAACUGCACACAUAAUCUGCUGAGCGAGGGAGAGGACACCAUCGUUCCUGAGUUUGCAGGGUGAUCACUGCCUGUACUCAGGCUACUGGGCCUUCUCUUUACAGCCACAUGAAUAUGCAAGCAAGACCUUUGAAUCUAGGGGAUCAACUGGCCCCUUCCACCCGCGGGUCAGUUUCUCCCAUGUCUCUUUCCAUAGACUCUUCUCCAGGGGCCACUAGCAGGCACACAGCACAGAGCGGCUCCUGUUAGGAGCAGAGCCUCAGCUUCCCAGGGAGUUGGUCCCAUCACCCUGAAGUCAAACAAGGCUCUGCCUGCCUUUACAGGGUGCCUGGGACUCCUGAAGCCAGGUUCCAAUUAUGGGUGCUUUCGACCUGGCUAUUACAGAUGCUAAGAAUACCACGGAAAUCCCUAAGUCGAGUUCAUCACGGAUAAUGUGCUCAGGGUUGUGUUUUCAAUGGCGUCAGUGAAUGGCUUCAUUAAGCAGUGCGUGUCUCUUACGGGGACCAUAACUGUGAUUAGCUUCUUAAAUGGUUGUUAAAGCUUCACAACUGUGUGAGUGCGCGCGCGCACACACACACACACACACCA